AGGAAAUGAAUUCCAAUAACGAUUUCAUUCUUUUAUAGAAUAUAUCUCUCAAAACUAAACACAUAAUGAUAACUAAGCAUUUGGUAUUCAAGAUUUAUAUCCAAAACUUAAAACAAAAAAAAGGGGUUGAGCAACAAAUAAAAGAGAGAAGUGCUAUACAAAACAAAAUAAGUUUAUAAACAAAUAAAUUAUUACCCAUAUUAUAUUCAAAUUUAACAAAAAAAGUGAAGCCAAAUUUGCCAUGAACCUUGAAUUUAAAUAGGAAUUGGAAAUUGAAUACCAAAUUCUAAUUUGUAAAGGGAAAG
rnacentral:lncRNA from 7 species